GAUGAACGCUGGCGGCGUGCCUAAUACAUGCAAGUCGAGCGAACAGACGAGGAGCUUGCUCCUCUGACGUUAGCGGCGGACGGGUGAGUAACACGUGGAUAACCUACCUAUAAGACUGGGAUAACUUCGGGAAACCGGAGCUAAUACCGGAUAAUAUAUUGAACCGCAUGGUUCAAUAGUGAAAGACGGUUUUGCUGUCACUUAUAGAUGGAUCCGCGCCGCAUUAGCUAGUUGGUAAGGUAACGGCUUACCAAGGCAACGAUGCGUAGCCGACCUGAGAGGGAGAUUGACCACACGGGAACAGAGACACAGUACAGACUUCUACGGGGAGGCGCAGUCGGGAAUCCUCCGGGAUGGGGGAAAGGCGGACGGUGCAAAGUCGCGGGAAGGAUGAAGGUGUUCUGACCGGUAAAUGCUGAUAGUAGGGGAAUAGUAAAAUUUUAGUAACUGGGCACAUCUUGACGGUACCCGAACAAGAAGCCACGGCUAACUACGUG
rnacentral:rRNA from 1 species